CUCCAGGGCAACCGUGGCUUUCGAUUGUUACUGUGGGAACUGGAGGUAACAGUCUACAGCCAUGGUCGCCCCGCAGCA
rfam:Chlorocebus sabaeus isolate 1994-021 chromosome 16, whole genome shotgun sequence.